UAGAGUUUACUCUUGUUUUUUUUUUUUUUUGAGAUAGAGAGAUAGGUAACACGCUACCCGCUUCGUUUAUUUCAUUUAGAAAUAAAUUUGGCUGGAAAUGUGAAUCAACUAGAACUCGAACUUAGGUCUCGAGUAUCAACCACCAAAUUCUUUCCCACUUGCUCUUGGGACGGUCGGUAUAGAGUUUACUAAUUGAUACAACA
rnacentral:lncRNA from 1 species